AUUGAACGCUGGCGGCAUGCCUUACACAUGCAAGUCGAACGGCAGCGGACCUUCGGGUGCCGGCGAGUGGCGAACGGGUGAGUAAUAUAUCGGAACGUACCUUUCAGUGGGGGAUAACGUAGCGAAAGUUACGCUAAUACCGCAUAUUCUGUGAGCAGGAAAGCAGGGGAUCGCAAGACCUUGCGCUGAUUGAGCGGCCGAUAUCGGAUUAGCUAGUUGGUGAGGUAAAGGCUCACCAAGGCGACGAUCUGUAGCGGGUCUGAGAGGAUGAUCCGCCACACUGGAACUGAGACACGGUCCAGACUCCUACGGGAGGCAGCAGUGGGGAAUUUUGGACAAUGGGCGCAAGCCUGAUCCAGCCAUGCCGCGUGAGUGAAGAAGGCCU
rnacentral:rRNA from 1 species